GAGUUUGAUCGUGGCUCAGAACGAACGCUGGCGGCAGGCUUAACACAUGCAAGUCGAGCGCCCCGCAAGGGGAGCGGCAGACGGGUGAGUAACACGUGGGAACCUACCUGAAGGUACGGAACAACUCCGGGAAACUGGAGCUAAUACCGUAUGUGCCCGAAAGGGGAAAGAUUCAUCGCCUUCAGAUGGGCCCGCGUCAGAUUAGCUAGUUGGUGAGGUAACGGCUCACCAAGGCGACGAUCUGUAGCUGGUCUGAGAGGAUGAUCAGCCACACUGGGACUGAGACACGGCCCAGACUCCUACGGGAGGCAGCAGUGGGGAAUAUUGGACAAUGGGCGAAAGCCUGAUCCAGCCAUGCCGCGUGAGUGAUGACGGCCUUAGGGUUGUAAAGCUCUUUCGACGGGGACGAUAAAUGACGGUACCCGUAGAAGAAGCCCCGGCUAACUUCGUGCCAGCAGCCGCGGUAAG
rnacentral:rRNA from 1 species